GCGGGUAUAGUUUAGUGGUAAAAGUGUGAUUCGCCCUAGCCUUCCAAGCUAACGAUGCGGGUUCGAUUCCCGCUACCCGCUGCGGAUAUGGUCGAAUGGUAAAAUUUCUCUUUGCCAAGGAGAAGAUGCGGGUUCGAUUCCCGCUAUCCGCC
rnacentral:tRNA from 1 species